rnacentral:rRNA from 1 species
CCGCGUGAGUGAAGAAGGCCUUUGGGUUGUAAAGCUCUUUUGUAGGGGAAGAUAAUGACUGUACCCUAAGAAUAAGGUCCGGCUAACUUCGUGCCAGCAGCCGCGGUAAUACGAAGGGACCUAGCGUAGUUCGGAAUUACUGGGCGUAAAGCGCGCGUAGGCCGUUGAGUUAGUUAAUUGUGAAAUCCCAAAGCUUAACUUUGGAACUGCAAUUAAAACUGCUCGACUAGAGUUUGAUAGAGGAAAGCGGAAUACAUAGUGUAGAGGUGAAAUUCGUAGAUAUUAUGUAGAACACCAGUUGCGAAGGCGGCUUUCUGGAUCAACACUGACGCUGAGGCGCGAAAGUAUGGGUAGCAAAGAGGAUUAGAUACCCUCGUAGUCCAUACCAUAAACGAUGAUUGCUAGAUGUUGGAAAUUUAUUUUCAGUAUCGCAGCUAACGCAUUAAGCAAUCCGCCUGGGGAGUAC